CGAAGGCUUCUCAUCCCCCUAGAGUCCCACUAAUAUUAGAAGGCCAGUUAUGGCAGACCUUGGAUUCCAAUAAUUUUAAGGGCUGUGUCGCUUGCAUCCUAGCACGUGUAUGAAGUACUGUCCAUUUUUGGUUGAUAUUUGAAAUAUUUUGUCGGACCUGCUGUGGUUGUAUGGCCAAUUUAUAUUUACUCUGCAAGCCAUGCUCUUGGAGAUUGGAUUGCAAAGAUUGUGGAGUGUAGACCGACGAUCGACAGAUAUGAGCAUUAGUCUUCCUCAGGAAACAGCUGCUUCCCCAUGUUUGUGCGGUUUCUAUUGAGUGAUUAUAUGCCUGUGAGAUGAAAUAAGUUGCAAAAAAGUCCAGUUUACCGAUUGAAAAAGUUUG
rnacentral:lncRNA from 1 species